GCACGUUAUGGUGGGCGACUCUAAGGAGACUGCCGGUGACAAACCGGAGGAAGGUGGGGAGUGACGUCAAGUCAUCAUGGCCCUUACGGCCUGGGCUACACACGUGCUACAAUGGUCGGUACAAAGGGUUGCCAAGCCGCGAGGUGGAGCUAAUCCCAUAAAACCGAUCGUAGUCCGGAUCGCAGUCUGCAACUCGACUGCGUGAAGUCGGAAUCGCUAGUAAUCGUGAAUCAGAAUGUCACGGUGAAUACGUUCCCGGGCCUU
rnacentral:rRNA from 1 species